UCUACUAUUAGAACGAUCCUCCGAAGCAUGUGCGGCUUCUAGCCAACAUGCUCGUACCUACAGACGUUUAAUCAGGCUCUUUUUUAACAGAUCUUCGAUACCUUAGCUAAAUACUCGUACGAAUAUGGUGAAUCAGAAGACAGCUUUCCGCUUCACAGGAUGGGAUAGUGCUGGCUAUCAGUUAAGCUCAUCUCGUGCACGUAGCUUCGAUGAAGACAUAUUGACGCGAAGCCAGAUAUGGGUACUCAAGGUCAUCGAGAGAACGACGCCCUACAGAUCAUCUACGAUGGAAUACUUCACAGGGCCCCGUAACUGCGUCAGCGAGACACCAAUCCACACGUAUAAACGAAAAUAGUAGCCCAUAAAGGCUAACCUGACCAUCUCGACGGGAAAAUUCGGCGCCGGCACAGCGCAUCGCGCCACGUCUCUGGCAAGCCUCACGUUGGGCCCACGCCUCCGAAACGGAUAAAAAAAGUCUCCAUAAUGCGUUGUAACGUCUUCUGGAUGCCGAAGUCGACCGCUCCCCUUAGAAUAACAUAAAGUGGUAGCUUCCUUCACCUUAAAGAAUAAAACGUUAAACAACGUUCGCUUACUCUUGACUCGCCAGGCUACGCCAUCCUUGAGUAUACACGCUAGAACGCAAGCCCCUCCCUCUAAUUGCUCAGAUAAAAGUCACUUUUCUGUGCCCUGUGUACUUCAGAGACGUUGUUUUGUACUACCAGCACUAUCAGGCUAAACAUUAGCGUUAGUGGGACCCCAAAAUCGUACCCGUGUAAGGUCGGAGCUCAGCGCGUUAAUUCUGGACAAAAUGCUCCUCCUACUUGACGAACUCUUCUGUGAUACUGGAUUGCAAUAGCCAAUAGGCUUGUAGUGGUGGUCGUUCCAAAUGAGGUAUCUCGCGUAGAGCGAGCGUGUGAUCGUCGCCAUCUGAAUUGGGAAUCCUCUGUUAAGAGCCAGUAACAGGAACCUAGAUUCAAGCAACUUUUUAGCGUUUCAGCCAACAUGAGGUCGGUAAGGUGUGGCCACCCGGGCCUUCACGGAAUUCUGAUGGCCAUGAUUGUGUGGCAUAGAAACACCAUUCCUUAAAGUUGCCAAGGUGCAUCUCUUUCAACAGUCACUUGCUCUCAGUACUUUUCCAGCUUUAUUAUUGUAUUGCUUGCAAAUACAAUCGAGCGAACAGUAUGGAACACCGAAACAGAUACAUGGCCUCUGACGCAUGGACAAGUAGAACAGUGGUCAACAUACCGGCGAUUUUAGACGAAGUUCAAAUGAAGCCCCUUCAGCGACUUUCUUACUGAUGAGACGAAACCGUGGUGUCGACGACAUGGCAUACUUUUUACUUCGUUAAUCGCAUGACACUGAUUUGAAGUAGGCGGACACGAGGAGAUCAAGGAACCAGAGAAGGGAACAAACUAAAUGGGAAAACUGGAAGACGGUGGAUAGAUAAACCGGGAUGUUAGUGCCUAACAAAGUUUUCGUCACGCCCUUUACCGUUGUAGGUGACGCAAGGAACUUUACAUACGACCAGUCGGCUUCAUGCCGUCAAAGUUUCCGAUGGUUUCUUUAAAUAGUUCUUAAACUCCUCCCCAUGCUGCAUUAGCGUAUCCGAAUUGUUAUCAUAUCCUGUUUGUCUAACCAAAGUAUUAGCAAACCGUCACAGAUAUCUAUGCAAGUUUUAUUUGACUUUCGGGCGUUGACUCGAUUUCCAGCAUGCUUGAAACGGAGAUCCCUUUGUUACCCAUGUUAAACCCAUAAGAAACCCACGUUAAACGGGUAAUAAAAUACGUUUCCCAUGUCAGCUAAUUUCCGUUUACUGCGUGGCAUAAAGACGAACAUCUUGUGAUGCAUUUGAAAGAUGGAAAACCGUCGGAAUGAUAAUUUCAUAACGCAGUACGAUUGCAUUGGAAAUGUCGUUUAGUUAACCGAAUUUGAUUGUUACGGCAAAACCAACAUUGCCUAUCUGUCAAUAACUAACCUAGCCUAGGUGUUUUCUUGCUGUCAACACACAUUAUGUGUGAUAAUAAUAAUAAUCGUGGAAGCAUCUACCUUUAGCUUCUGUUGGUUAAUGGUGAUUUUUUCGGCAUUUUAGGUUUCAGUAGCCGGUACCUAGCGCAGUAAACAAUGACCAUGAGUUGAAACAGUUUGGGCUGACGGAAAACGCCGAACAAAUACGACAGAAGUCUCUUGGUGGAUCUACUGGCUAAAAAGCCAAAGAACUCUGAAAAUAUGGGAGAAGUUCAAAAGGACCAGGUCUGUUUGGGAGCGUCGAGAAUGUGCUCAUGGAAGGACCCAAAGAGCAUGAAUUCGAGUAAGCUUGCAGGCGGCUUUCUUGCGAUGAAGGCAAAUGAAGUAUAUGCUUAUCUGCCUUGGUCCGCUCUGCCUUUGCUUUCCUGGCCGUCCUAGGGCUAGCGGACUCUGUCCGCGACGAUCAGGCUAAAAGAGCAAUCCGUGACUCGUAUUGCCUAUGAUUAGUGAAUAUAGGUGACGAUGAUUUCGAUCUAACUUCGAAUCCGUCUGCAGUUUAGGUCAACUCCGCCACUCGAACAAACCGCGGGGGCCUUCUGUUGGUGAUGAGUGGCACAUGACGCGGCAGGAAAAUUGUGCCCGCUACUUUAAUAUAAAAAGCAAAACUACUUUUCGAGUCACGUUCGCCUUUUGCAUUGCACUGGCAACUACUGGUAAUAAAUAGUUAUACAUGAUCGCAGUGGCAGUGAUAACAUUCUAGGUGAAGAAUCGGCUGGGUUAAUAUGUCGGAACGCAGCAGACUACAGUAUUCUAUAGUACAUUUAACAUCUAUCAGGUCAGUGUUCCCGUCGUGCGUGAACCAGUAAGUGGUAAAGUUAGUUAAUAUGCUAUUGUGUGUAGAACAUACGGCGCAAUUCCGAAGGCAUCGCUCGUCGAACGUUCAAAAUAUUGUAUAUAUAUACGCUUGGCAGUAAAUAACAGCAGUCUGACGUACUAUUUAUCUUUACUAACCAUCAUCGAUACUCGAGACAUUAUAUUACGAUGGAUUUACAGAAUUAUCUAAUAUAGGAUCGAAAAGCGUUUAGCUUAACGACCUGAAGCCAGCCAGCCGAGUGCCAAAGUUUGAAAAUGAGCGCGCUUUUAGCUUUGUGCCCAUAUCACUUUGCGUCCAUACGAUAACUGAUUAAUAAUUAACUCGAACGAAUGCAUUGGCGAAAAUCGCGCUGUUUGAAGUUGUGCCAGUUUCAGCCGCCGUUGGCUGCGACCGCGUUUCGUUAAAAUCACACGUACCCCAUGUGUAUAAAUAUUCGGCUGACGUCGCCGGCAUACAAACUUUUGGUUUCGAAUUGUUUGCUUUGAACGUGGCGUUAAAAAUAUCGUAACUGUGGCGCGCUUUCAGAGAUUGAAAGUGGAGAGAAAGAACAGGAAGGGAUCCUGCAGCGUAGAACUUAGCCUGGCUACGACAGUUGAACUUGGGACAAGUUUUGCAAUACUCUUUAUUAUUAUUAUUACUAUUAUAGGAGACGCGUGGGAUACGAUGAAAGGAAAAUGAGAAACUGUCUAUAGGCUUUAAGCAAAUAGACAACGCUAAUGGUUUACGACAGUGUACGUAGAAGUUAUAAAUUAUUUGUUAAUCGUAAUAAAACGCAACC